AAAGUUCUUUCGUGGAGGACGAAAAGGUGGGUGCUAAUAUCGCCUGCUGUUGACGUGAAUCCAAGAAGAAGCACCGGCUAACUCCGUGCCAGCAGCCGCSGUAAUACGGGGGGUGCAAGCGUUAAUCGGAAUCACUGGGCGUAAAGGGUGCGUAGGCGGUGCAUUAGGUCUGUCGUGAAAUSCCCSSSCUCAACCUGGGAAUGGCGGUGGAAACSGGUGUACSAGAGUAUGGGAGAGGGUGGUGGAAUUCCAGGUGUAGCGGUGAAUGCG
rnacentral:rRNA from 1 species